GCAAGUCGAACGAUAAGCCGUCUUCGGAUGGUGGACAGUGGCGCACGGGUGAGUAACACGUGGGGACCUGCCUGAUAGUAAGGGACAACAGUUGGAAACGACUACUAAUACCUUAUACGCCCUAUUGGGGAAAGAUUUAUCGCUAUCAGAUGGACCUGCGCUAGAUUAGAUAGUUGGUGAGGUAAUGGCUCACCAAGACGACGAUCUAUAGCUGGUUUGAGAGGAUGAUC
rnacentral:rRNA from 1 species